rnacentral:rRNA from 1 species
AUGCUUUAUCUGUUUAAUUGUGGAGAGAAAUUGCACUCGAAGUCGCACCAACACAUAGAUACCUAUACAAGAGACCUUGUUAAGCAGUUGAGAGAGAAUAAUAUCAGCAUUAGCAAGGUUUAUAGUGUUGUAGGGAGUUUCUUUUGCAUGAUUAAGGAGGUGCCAUUCAUGAAACGAUCCUUAAAAACACUAUGUGGAAAACUUAACCGGGAACAGUCGCUAAAUGAUGCAACAAAAACCAUAGAUGUAUUCAACAAGAUGCGGGCGGAGGACCCAGAAUUUAAAUAUAGUGUCCAGGUGGACACCGAGGGCAUAAUUAAGACAUUGAUGUGGGCGACUGGUAAAGGCAUUGAGCAGUUCAAGUGUUUCGGUGAUGUUGUGGCGUUUGAUACAACCUAG